GGCAGUUUAAAAAAAUGCAACUAUAUACAAGUUCAUCAAUUCCAGAUGUAAAGUCAAUAGCAAUUCAAGUGAUGACCACAGCAGUAACCUGGAGACCUGCAGUCUCAAUGUAUCAGUAAAACACCAAGUACAAACCCCAGGUAAAUGACGGUCCUGAGGAACAGAUGUCAGGACAUCAGAUGUGAAGUUAAAGGAUCCAUCUAAAGACUAUCUGU
rnacentral:lncRNA from 1 species